GUGUAAUCGUAUUCAUCAGGUUGUGUCUAACCAAAAUCCUAUUACAUCUUAUGGCGCAGCCACGAUUUCCCUGGUGUUGGCGCAGUGUUCGCGCACCCCGGUUUAGCC
rnacentral:sRNA from 1 species